AAAAAUUAUAAAAUGUUAAAUAUUAUCAGUAUUAUAACGAUGUGCCUCAAUAUAUCUUUUUUUUUCAAUGCAGGUCACUAAAAAAACCUGAUAUCAAAGAUGGGAAAUGUUCUGGAAAUAUGGGCAAUUUUACUUGUAAUAUUUGGCACAUGGGUUGUAAUGAGCACCCUAAUGCUGUUGCCAGCAGGAAUUGUUAUAAUAUGGAGAAUGAAACGUUUGCCUGAAAUCUCCAUAGCGGGAACUGUCUGAGUAUGAAAAACAACUUCAAAAAGGUUUUGAAUUAUACGGAGAUAAAAACUCAAAAUGUGGAAAACCCCUGGUGUUCUAUCAAAAAGAUCAAACAUAUACAGUGCCUUAAAAGAAAUGAUACGAUUCUACAGAGCUGGAAGACUGAAAACGUAUUGAAUGCCGAUAAUAUUUCAAUUAAACACUUUUUCUCUAAAGCUGACAAUAUUUUUAAACUUUGGUCAAUUCUUCACUACGUGCAGAGCACUACAAACAAAUAAUUGAUGAAAUAACAUAAGACAGAAACAAUGAGUAAAGAAACAUCCAAAUAAAAGAAUGAAGACAAAUCAUGUUUCUUUUUGUAUAUUGUGUUUUCUGUGUCUUUGUUUUCAUUUCAUCAGUGUACACAGGGCUGGCGCGUCCUAUAGGCAACGUAGGCAGUUGCCUAGGGAGCACUGGGCCGGGGGUCA